UGGGGAAUAUUGCACAAUGGGCGCAAGCCUGAUGCAGCCAUGCCGCGUGUGUGAAGAAGGCCUUCGGGUUGUAAAGCACUUUCAGCGAGGAGGAAGGUGGUGAGCUUAAUACGCUCAUCAAUUGACGUUACUCGCAGAAGAAGCACCGGCUAACUCCGUGCCAGCAGCCGCGGUAAUACGGAGGGUGCAAGCGUUAAUCGGAAUUACUGGGCGUAAAGCGCACGCAGGCGGUUUGUUAAGUCAGAUGUGAAAUCCCCCGGGCUCAACCUGGGGAACUGCAUUUGAAACUGGCAAGCUAGAGUCUCGUAGAGGGGGGUAGAAUUCCAGGUGUAGCGGUGAAAUGCGUAGAGAUCUGGAGGAAUACCGGUGGCGAAGGCGGCCCCCCUGGACGAAGACUGACGCUCAGGUGCGAAAAGCGUGGGGCAGCAAAACAGGAUUAGAUACCCUGGUAGUCCACGCUGUAAAACGAUGUCGAUUUGGAGGUUGUGCCCUUGAGGCGUGGCUUCCGGAGCUAACGCGUUAAAAUCGACCGCCUGGGGGAGUACGGCCGCAAGGUUAAAAACUUAAAAGGAAUUGACGGGGUCAUAGCUGUUUCCU
rnacentral:rRNA from 1 species